UUACAUGGCAUUGUAUGGGAAUUUGAUUGACAGCAUGCAGCAGCUGCUGAACAGCCCAGACAUGGCGGAGGAUACAGUGUAAGUGGGGAACGGCGAGAGAGUUACGAUAGUUUUCCUAGCAGUUCAGUCGGUUUAGUGCUUUAUAGAAAAAGCAAAUGUGUCAGGCAUGUUUUCUUCGGAAUAACACAAAAAUGGACGAAGUUGCCAGACGUAAGUAAGCUGGGAAAAUGUAUAUCUGUUUAGUGCAGUUUACGGUCGUAGACAACAAAUAUGGCUUCUUGUGCCUUUUCCUAUUUGUUAUAAACAACUGCUCUCCCAUGCCAUUACAUGUCAUGGCUGUAAUGCAAAAUUCAUACAAGUGACAAUUAGGAAGUUAGUUCCUUGUUCGCUUAUCGGGCAGGGGGUCAUUUUGGAGAAAUAAAGCCGAGGAUACGUUAGCUAAACAGACUGCUAGCUAGUUAGCUAGCUACGGAACUGAAGCGAACGGCAAUGGAGCCAAAGCACAAAGAGUUGUUAGAACAAUUCCACCAAAACUUGCUGGACUCUAUAACAGACGCAGAUCGACUGAUAGAGUUACUGAUACUCUCCGGUACUCUGAGCCAGCUCGACCGCUUCGAACUGGACCAAAACUGCUCUUCCAGCGCGGAGAAAGUGGACCAGCUUUUGAAGAUGCUUGUGAACAAGGAAAGCGACCAUUUCCUCGAGCUGUGUGUGGCCUUGGAAAAGGCGUACCCUGACCUGUAUUCUGCACUCUUUACCAACGGCGGUGGACCCGUGGACCAUUCCUCCGGCUCUACAUACAGUGUUCUCUCCACCAUGCCCUCAGACUCUGAGAGUAGCAGUUCCCUAAGCAGUGUUGGUUCACCUCCCGGUAACGGCUCAGCCUCGUCCCCGCCCCCGGUCGUCAACGACAACCGGCCAGCCGGUGACAACCUGGACACCAUCCUGUUCCAGCUGCGUCAGGUGACCCGUGAGAGGGACGAGCUCCGCAAGCGCCUGGCUCUGGCAUCGCCCGGCACCACCUUCGACGACUGCAGGCCAAAUUCCAAAGCCAGCCACGACUACGAGCGACUGAAGAGUCAGUGUAUGCGGGCCAUGGCAGACCUGCAGUCUCUACAGAACCAACACACCAAGACUCUGAAGAGGUGUGAGGAGGCCGUCAAGGAGGCUGAUUUCUACCAUAUGCUCCACAGUCGUGUGUUAGGAGACCAGUCUCAGCUGAAAGAGGAGCUGGAUGUGUUGAGGAGAGACAACACUCAGCUGGUCAGGGAACACAACCACCUGAAGCAGAGCUGUGAGGAGCUCCGCAGGCUGCACAGCGAGGACCAGAAGGAGGUGGCCGACAUGAGGCGGCAGCAGCAAGAGGUGAUGAGAGAAAACGGUUCAUCAGAGGUUCUCAACAAGCUCUAUGACACAGCUAUGGACAAGCUGGAGGGGGUGAGGAAAGAAUACGAUUCGCUGAGCAAACGCUACAGCGAGAAGGUAGCUAAUCACAACACGGACCUGAGCAGGCUGGAGCAGGUGGAGGAAGAGAACCGCCGAUUACAGAAACAGAUGGACACGUUGCUGAGACAACGAGACACGGCUAUACACUACCAACAACAGUGCUCUACGUCCAUGAGGAGGUUUGACUCUGUACAACAGGAGCUGAACAAGUCUUCAGGCCAGAACAAGGAGCUGCAGAGGGAAAUGGAGCGGCUGCAGUCGGAGGUGACACGCUGUAAGAACUUCCAGCUGAAGGCAGUAAAGGACUGUGAGAAGUACAAGGAGGAGAGGGACUCUGUGUUCAACGAGUACAGGCUCAUCAUGAGUGAGAGGGACCAGGUGAUCAAGGAGCUGGACAAGCUGCAGACAGAGCUGGAGGCUGCAGAGGCCCGCCUCAAAAACACCUCGUCUGAAAGGAUGGUGGCCAGCGAGGAGAUGGAGGCUCUCAGACAGGAGCUGAACUCGUCGUUGGUGGACCGGGACAGGGCAAUCUGUGAGAGGAACGAGCUGUUGGAGAAGUACUGCCACGAGGUGAAGGAUAAGGCUGAGGCCCAAAAGGAGCUGAGCCAAGCCUGUAAAGAUAUUGAGACGGUCCGCGAGGAGAGAGACGUGGCCCGCAAGGAGAGGACAGAGGCCAUCAUACAGAGAGACCAGCUACUGAGAGAAUACUACCAGGCAAGACAGAAACAAGACUCUGCCACCCUGGACAUAGAGCGGGCCAACAAGGAGAUUGAGGUGUUGAGGAAGCAGUAUGAGGCCAUGUCCCAGGAGCUGAAGGAGGCUACGCAGGAGGCCGAGGUGGCCAAGUGUCGACGUGACUGGGCCUUCCAGGAGAGAGACAAGAUAGUGGCAGAGAGAGAGAGCAUACGGACGCUGUGUGACAACCUGCGUAGGGAGCGGGACCGGGCGGUCAGCGAUCUGGCCGACGCCCUGCGUAACCUUGACGACAUGAGGAAGCAGAAGAAUGACGCGUCACGGGAACUGAAGGAACUCAAAGAGAAGAUGGAGAGCCAGCUGGACAAGGAGGCCAGGUUUUGUCAGCUGAUGGCCCACAGCUCCCAUGACUCCGCCAUCGACACAGACUCUCUGGAGUGGGAGACGGAGGUUGUGGAGUUUGAGAAAGACAGGGAUGACAUGGAUUUAAAGGCACUUGGGUUUGACAUAGCAGAGGGGGUAAACGACCCAUAUUUACCAGGAGAUUGUGGAAUAUUUGUGACAAGAGUGGACAAAGGAAGUAUUGCAGAUGGAAGGUUAAGAGUGAACGAUUGGUUGCUGAAGAUAAAUGACAUGGACCUGACCAACAAGGACAGGAAGCAGGUGGUAAAGGCGGUGCUUAACAGAGGCGGGCUGAUCAACAUGGUGGUUCGCAGGAGGAAGUCCCUGGGAGGAAGGCUGGUCACCCCUGUACACAUCAACCUGAUCGGACACAAAGACAGUGGUAUAGGUCUGGAGAAUGGUGUGUUUGUGACAGCCCUCGUCCAGGGGAGUCCUGCUUCCAGGGAGGGAUCUCUGACUGUUGGAGACAGACUUAUCGCUAUCAACGGCAUCGCUCUGGACAACAAGUCGGUGACGGAGUGUGAGACACUGCUGAGGAACUGUAGGGACUCUCUUAGCCUCUCUCUCAUGAAGUUCUUCCCUCACAGUUCGUCGGGCCAGAACAUCUUCGACAGCCUGCGCGAGUCAUCGUCCAACAGCCGUCUCUCCGAGGUCCACUCCAGGAACAGUCGUAACCUCAAACACAACAGCUCCACACAGACAGACAUCUUCUGCCCCGACACAGGUGGGAGUGGGGGAGGUGGUAGUGUCAAUGUCCAAGGAGAGAGGAGGAAAAGCAGGGGUGGGGAGGCCGAGGAGGGGAUGGGCCCCUACGGGGAUGUCAGGAAGCCCUUCUCCACGGGGUCUCUCCAUGCCACCAGCCUCCGGCCGUCCUCUGACCUUGGUCUGGGUCCCCCGAGCCGCUACGGCCCCAGCGCCUUCCAGGAGUGCUGCUCUGGGUCCCCCUACGCCAAGCCCCCUCCACCCCCCAUGACCUAUGACCCCUCUAACCCCCCCGACUGCAUCACCAUGGAGACCACCCUGGAGAAGAAACACAGCGGCGGUACCUGGCCGAAGAUGAUCGUCGGCGGGAUGUCUGUCGCCGUGGAUACGACCACAGCGACGACUCCGACCCAGCUGUCCAUCUUCAAGUCACCCAAACAGAGGAAGUCCAUCUUCGACACGGACGCCUUCAAACCACGGCCUGAGAUGGCUCCCCCAUCUUCCAAGAUAGAGUACCUGUUGCCCAGUCAGCUGGUGGCCCACUCCCCGCAGACCUCCAAGACGGAAUCUCUCUCCUCCUCCUCUACGGCCACACCCACCCCCCCUCUGCCGCCUACCCGCAGUGAUUCGUUCAAAUUCAAACACAAACAGCAGAGCAAUUCCGCCUCCGACUGCACGCUCACCUCCGACGGGAACGGCGGCAAGGGGGAGGCUGUUUCCAUGGUUACCGGGGAGGGCCACGGGGAACACGAGAUGGAACGAGAAAGGGAGAGGGAAAGAGACAGAAACGGGAACCACUACUUCCUGGACGGGAAAGUGCUGACAUCGAGGAAGUCAUGUGAUGAGGACAUUGGACGCACCAGGGGGGAGGAGCCUGAUGUGAAGAGGCCCCGCCCUAAAUCAGCACCAGCUCUCCGACGCAGGAUGACCCCCCAGUCCAUCACUCUGCCCUCCUUCCAGAGCUACUCCAAUGACGAUCACUCCCCAGAGCCCAGAGAGAUGCUUCGCUCCUCUCCCAACCGCUCUCACAGACACAGUGUGGGCUUCGUCUCCACCGUCUACAACAGUACCCUGCCUGCAAACUCGGCCCAUCGUGGCCUGGCCCCGUGUCCCGCGGUGACCGCAGUGAUGAGGAACCCAGUCUACACAGUCCGCAGCCAUAGAGUCCACACCAACAACUGUCCCUCUGUCUCCUCCCAGAUCUGCCAACACCAGCACAACAACCAACACCCCAGUCCGCAGCACCAGGGGCGUCUGAGCCUGGACCUGAGCCAAAAGCGUCCAGCAGCAGACUACUCCGAGUCCUCGUCACGCAGCAGCCGCACCUCCCAUGGUACCAACUCACUACCCUCCAGUGCUCGCCUGGGCCUUGAUUCUUCCAGUAACGUCCAGUACCGGACAGAGAGGAUUAAGAUCCCCUCCACUCCCCGCUACCCUCGAUCUAUGCUGGGCUCUGACAGAGGGUCCCUGUCACAUUCAGAGUGCAGCAGUCCCAGCCUCAUCACUCCCCCCCAAUCACCUCUGAACCUGGAGACUUCCUCCUUCGCCAGCAGCCAAUCACAGAGCUCCAUAUCCACCCUGCCCAGAAUCUCCGUCAGCCCUGUGCCAAUUGGAGAGCGGAGGAAAGACCGGUCUCUGCACCGUAACAGGUCUUUUCUGAGGAUCCCUCUGGCUGCUAGGCCGAGGUUCUCCUCUCUCAGGAGCCUCAGGCCGUACCUGGAGGAACCUCGUAAUGUGAUCGUUCACAAAGGGGCGGAGCCUCUGGGCAUCUCUAUCGUCAGCGGCGAGAACGGCGGUAUUUUCGUCUCCAAGGUAACCGGAGGCAGCAUCGCCCAUCAGGCCGGGCUGGAGUACGGCGACCAACUCCUCGAGUAUAAUGGUAUUAACUUGCGUAAUGCCACAGAGCAGCAAGCCAGGCUGAUAAUUGGUCAGCAGUGUGACACCAUCACCAUCAUGGCUCAGUACAACCCCCACAUGUACCAGCUGGGAAACCACUCACGCUCCAGUUCUCGUCUGGAGCCGGUGAGCAGCCAGUCAACUCCCCAUGGCAGUGGAGCCACCACCCCUGACAACCACUCUACUAUAGACACUCUGAGUGAACAAGACGAAGGAACACUCACCCCCUCCUCCAAACAGACCACCCCUACAACUAGUCCUCAUAGUUUCAUCAGGAUGUUGUCAGAGGGUAGUCGUAAGGUGUGUGAACCACGGGUGGUGACGGUGCGCAGAGCCCAGGGGGCAGAACUGGGGCUGGGGCUAUGUGGAGGGAACCUCCGCGGGGUCUAUGUAGAGAGUCUGGAAGAGGACAGCCCUGCUAGGGGAACAGAGGGUCUGCAGCCUGGGGACCUCAUACUGGAGUAUGGGUCAGUAAACAUGAAGAACAAGACAGUGGAGGAGGUGUAUGUAGAGAUGCUGAAGCCAGCCGAGACGGUCACACUCAAAGUCCAACAACGACAGGAGGACUUCAACAUUGUCAAAGACACACCGGGGGACGGCUUCUAUAUCAGAGCACUUUAUGAGCGGACAGUGGAGGCAGAGCUGGACCUUAGUUUUAAGAAGGAUGACAUCCUGUAUGUGGAUGAUACUCUACCAAAGGGCAGCUUUGGCACCUGGAUGGCCUGGCAGCUGGAUGAGAAUGCACAGCAGAUCCAGAGAGGACAGAUACCCAGCAAAUACAUGAUGGACCAGGAGUUGUACCGUAGACACAGUAUGACAGAGCUGAAAGACGACAAGGACAGUAAGAGCCUCUCUGCCGCCGCCAGGCGAUCCUUCUUCAGGAGGAAGCACAAACACAAACGCAGUGGCUCCAAAGAUGGCAAGGAACUGGUGGCUCUGGACGCCAUUAGCACAGACUCUAUACCAUUCCUAGAGGACUGUGUGAGCAUGGCGUACCAGCGGGUCCAGAAGGUAGAGUGUGUGUCUCCCAGGCCGGUUCUGAUCCUCGGUCCUCUCUCAGACCCCGUCAAGGACAUGCUGGUCAAAGAGUCCCCCGGGAAGUUUUGCAGAUGUGUCCUGGAGGUGAUGAAGGCGUCCCAGCAGGCUAUAGAGCGCGGCGUCAAAGACUGCCUCUUCAUCGACUACAAACGCAGGAGCGGCCAUUUUGACGUGACCACCGUGGCCUCCAUCAAGGAGAUAACAGAGAAGAUACAAGUGUUCCCCUUUGAUAUUUCAGAAUUUGUGAAAGGACUGUCACUGUCUGCUAGACAUCGCACCCCAUGCCAUUGAGAGGCUGCACAGCGUCCACAUUUACCCAAUCGUCAUCUUCAUCCGCUACAAAAACUCCAAGCAGAUAAAGGAACAGAAGGAUCCAGUGUAUCUGCGGGACAAGGUCUCUCAAAAACAUUCCAAGGAGCAGUUUGAGGUCGCACAGAAGAUUGAGCAGGAGUAUAGCAAAUUCUUUACAGGUAUUGUCCAGGGCGGCACUCUUCCCUACAUUUGCACUCAGAUCAUGACAAUAGUUGAUCAGGAACAGAGUAAGGUCCUGUGGACUCCCCUUGGCUGCUCCUAGGGGGUGGAGGCCACCACUGCACGCUGCGUCACUGCGCCUCAUCUCCACUCACAACAAACACUAAAAAACCUUCCACACUAUACCAAUAGGUACACUACAGUGAGCUAUUACACAUGUAAACUAGUGAUAUUUUUGUUAUAUAGUUUUAUUAUGAUGUUGAUUCGUACCUUAACCGGAGCCUCUUAUUUUUCUGUGUAUUCUGGAGCAGGUUGGUAGCACUGACAGUUGAUGUUAAAGUUAAUUCGGUCUUCCUUAAGGGUUUUAUGGUUGUGUUUUUGUAAUGUUGCGUUGUAUGCAUCUGUUUACAGUUUUUUUUAAAAACGAGUCUUGAGUAUUGGUGUUCAAUGUUCUGCUUGAAUGUGCAUUACAACCCCCCCCCCCCCAGAUGAAGUAAAGAACCCUGACCCAGAAUCGGCCCCAAACAAACCUGUGUACCAAAUGACAUCAACCUGUUUUACACACCCCGUUCAAUGACUGACAACUAAUAAUGUGGAAGAAUAAUGUCUGCGUGUGUGUAUGAGAGUUUGUGUGUACGAGUGAUAGUUAUGUUAUUGAUAAACUAAUGACUUUGUUGGUUGGAUUGAAACAUGGAUUUUGAUGUUUUGAAGUUGACGCCAUAGAAACUAAACCUGCAGAACAGAUAUAAAGCUCUCCAAGCGACAUUUCUUAUCUGUAAAAAAAGAAAAUGUAAUCCGAAAGUCGAUUUUUGGAUCGGUCAAUCAAUUCUGGCUUCAGACCAAACUUUUAUGUGCACCAUGUGUGCAACAGUGUAUCAAUCAAUUCAAUUAUGUUUCUGUAAGAAAGAAAAAGCCAUGAAAAUCAGACAUGGCAGUAGCGAAUGGUGUCUGUUCUACUCGUUAUGUUUCUAUGGUCACUGUAUGUGAGUGGACAGUUUACAGGCCUAUCAGAAGUGCCUUCUGUCGUAGACUUGGUCCAAAAACAGACCCCCAGCCCUUACCCAUUCAGAUCUAAUGGAACAGGAUAAGUAGAAGCAAUAUGGAGGUAGAACCUCCCCACUGCCCAUUGGAAGGCUAGGUGGAGCCAUCACCAUGUUGUUUACACCUAUCUGGUACUUUCAGAUCUGUAAACACCAUAGUGUUAACACUAAAUCUGCAAACACCAUAGUGUUAUCACUAUAGAUCCACUUACAAUGUUAAGUGUUAACACUAAAGAUCUACAAAUAAACACUAUAGAGCGUAAACGCUAUAGAUCUGCAAUGCUCGGGCUUGUUUUGGGGCGGGGCAGUACAGAGCAUAUGACAAUGGUAAGGUUGUGAGGGCGACCACCUCAGAAUGCACUCCAGGGCUAGACAGACCACUGUGUCUCUAUCACAUGCUAUCUCUUGGUCACAUAUUUAAAGACGCUAUAGAAUAUAACAAAUAUAUGUGUGUAGGAGUAUACAUACAAACUCACAGGCACUUGAGUACCUGUAUGUACAGUAUGCAGAUGCAUCUGAGAUCUUAUAUUAGAUGUAUUUUGACUAGGUCUCAGGCCUAGGGAAGUUCAAACAGUUAAGUCAUGUCUUAGCAGGUAUUAGCAUGUUUUUUUAACGGUUUUAUUUUCGUCUUGUUUUGUGGUUUGUUGUCAGUCAGUUUUUAAAUGUACUCACAAACCAGAAAGACACCAUGGAGCAAAUGUGCAGGGGAAAAUCUUUCUUAAAGAAAAUACUUUGUUUCUCUUCCUUAAAUCCGUUGAAAUGUUAGGUUUUUUCAUUAUUUAAUUUCUUUAUUUUUUUUAUCCAAGAGGCACAAAAAUAUUGCUAUUGUCCCUCAUUCUUCUGUCAUCCUUGAACCCCAUUCUCCUGUAUCCUAAUGUUGUGCCAAAAUCCAGUACGUCAGUUUUAUCUUUUUACUUCUGUUUUGCACUUGUUAUUCUGUGGACCUUAAAACAAAUAGCUGUUUCCCAGUAGACUUUAUAAAUAGGUACUAUAUUAUCAUUUUUACUGUAACUAAUUCACAUUUUAAAUGUAUCACGUCAGUUCCUUACAUUUCAUUGAUGGCCUUUUUAUUCUUUAACCUUGAUUAGAAAACUGACAGAUUGCUCCUCAGUUGCAUUCUCGAUGAAAAAGGGAUUUCUUGCACAGUUUAUCAAAUGAAAAUCGGACAUGAAGUUUGACUAUUGGGCUAUAUGAUUAGGCAUAGUAAGUAAAAUUGUAAUGUAACCCAUUUUCUGAGUAGAUUUUAGAUGGUUUAAAAUUAGAAGAGGGAUGCCACGUAACAUGGUUUUAUUUUUAGGAGGAACGACUAGUUGCCAGGUACUAUUCUGAUUGCGGUUUUCUUUAUUAAAAAUAAUGAUUUGUAUCAAAUGUUGAGACAUUAACAUGAGAAUAAAAGUCUUUUUCUUUAUCACGACGA